rnacentral:rRNA from 1 species
UUGCCAGACUCCUACGGGAGGCAGCAGUGAGGAAUAUUGGUCAAUGGACGGAAGUCUGAACCAGCCAUGCCGCGUGCAGGAAGACGGCUCUAUGAGUUGUAAACUGCUUUUGUACAAGGGUAAACCUGAAUACGUGUAUUCAGCUGAAAGUACUGUACGAAUAAGGAUCGGCUAACUCCGUGCCAGCAGCCGCGGUAAUACGGAGGGUGCGAGCGUUAAUCGGAAUUACUGGGCGUAAAGCGCUCGUAGGCGGUAUGUCAAGUCAAGGGUGAAAUCCCCGCGCUCAACGUGGGAACUGCCUUUGAAACUGGCAAACUGGAGUGUGUGAGAGGAUAGUGGAAUUCCAGGUGUAGGAGUGAAAUCCGUAGAUAUCUGGAGGAACAUCAGUGGCGAAGGCGACUAUCUGGCACAUAACUGACGCUGAGGAGCGAAAGCGUGGGUAGCAAACAGGAUUAGAUACCCCCGUAAGA